CCCUCCCGCGCCCUAGAUCCACCGCCCGGCCGAGGGGGCUCAGUCCGCAGCCGCCGCCGCCGCCGCGCCUUGGUUUCGGUGCUGGCAGCGGCCGCCGCCGAGACAGCCGCGCGGGCGAGCAUCCCCAGGCAGUGUGACCUUUCCGUCUCAAAAAGCGUGAAAUCCCUACAAGGUGCCGUCAGUUCUAGGCUCUGGGAGAGAGGUUUCUGCUUUCGAAGUUUCUCUUUCUCUUCCAUUCCUCGCGGCCUCUUCUAAGGCGUCCAGGACUAGGUGGAGGUUUGGAAAUCAGCAAGGAAAGAUUGUGUGUGGUUCGUGUUCGGUGCUAUAUUAUCUUCUGCGUUUGAGACUGCGGGAUUCUCAGAAUGCUGGGCGUGGUGAAAUCUUUUGCAGAGAGAAGCUUGUGAUGGUGGUGGGCCUUAAGUUUCUCUAGACAAAAGGAGUAAAUGGAGUGUCUUUUACGCAGCUUUUUAAGAACCUGUUGUUUGCCCCGCGGGACCGGAGAAGGGAAAAGAAAAGAUAAGGAAACUUGAAAAAUUAACAAAAAUAUGAUCAGAUAUCUUUCUAAAUAUUCUUUAAAUUUUUGCUCAUAUCCAUUUGAAAAGUAAUUUGUAAGUCAAGGCUUUGCGUGAGACGUUGACUCUUACCUCUAAAGUUUUGACGUUAAAAACAAAAACAAACUGUCCACUGAAGGAUGGCAGCUAACCUCCUGAGGCUGAUCCACCCCUGUUUUCCUGCUUCCCACCUCCCGGUUGCCUUCUUGCCCUCUUGUGCCAGCGACUUUGGCUUUUAUAAUCUUGUGGGAGUUGAACAAAUGUUCGUGAUUGCUUGAACUUUGGGCCUUAUCUGUUUGGCUGCUUUCCCCAACUUUUGCCUACAAAAUUUUUUUGGUUAAUUGAAUUUUCCAGUUGUUUGGGUUUGGAGUAAAAGGGAGCAGACUGUAAUUAUUUUCUCUUAAAAGAUCUUUUCUUUCAGCUCCUGUUGGACGAGAGCAAAGAAAGUUUCUUUCAUUUUUUUUUUUUGUCAACAGAGUACUUAAUUAAGCAGAAUAUAUGACCAUGUAUUUACUCAACCAACAUUUACUGAGUUGCCGCCUCUGUUGGAGGCUCUGUGCUAGGUGCCGGCAUGCACAGUGGAUAAGAAAUGGCUCCUGCUUUCUGGUGCAGUUAUUAAAAUGAAAAAUAGACAGUGAAUUCGUUGUGAAUAAUCAAGAGGUGUCCAGAGUCUUUUGGACUUUAACAUAGCACUUUAUGUACAGUAAACAUGCUUCAGCCAUGCAAACAGGGGAGCCGUUUCUUUCCAGGGUAUUAGUCACUGCAUAAAUUCCAUCUCACCUUCCCAAUGAAGACAUACUUUGUCAGUUUGGGUAAUAACAUGGUUUAUAAGUCGUCUUAAGGUCAAUGGCCUUUUAACAUUUUAUGUAAAGUAAUUAGGACAUAGCAGAUUCCUUGAUAUUAAAGUACAGCAUUUUGUAUGACUGUAUAGAGAAAUGAAAAGACAGCCAGGCCAGCAUUCCUUCCUGUGACUUAAAGCAGCUUCUGACAGUAAAUUGGGCCAAAAAAUUUAUUUUUCUAUGGUCACCUUUGAAUUACAGGUACUAAUGAAUGAUGGAGCCCAGAGGAGUAGAUAAGAGUAAAUGGGAGAGCGAGUAAACCUUUGUCCUCCUGCAGGGCUGCCUACCGAGGUGGCUGAGAAUUCCCAUCUGCAGAAAGUGCUAGACGAGUGGUUUUUAACUGGGGCAGUUUUGUCCCCUAGGAGACAUUGAACAAUGUCUGGAGACAGUUUUGGCAGUCACAGCUUGGGGUGUGUCUAGUGGGUAGAGGUCAGGCAAAGGGCUUAAACAUUCUAGGAUGCAAGGGGCAGUCCCCCGCAACGGAGAGUCAUCUGACCCAAAUUGUCAAUAGUGCUAAGGUUGAUGUAAUUUCCUCUAUGAAAUGCAGUAGAACUUAACUUCAGGAGAGUAGAGAACACUAGCAGUGUCUUGUGACUGAGUUGUUGGCUAAGCUUACUUUACUAGUCUUUAAAGUGACUAGUACCUGAACAUCGACCCAAAUCAUGAAGACCAAUAGAAGCUACAAUUUAUGGUACUUAGCUCUGUGCCAGGCACUUGUAUACAUUGUCUAGUCUCUUCAUUUUUUAAAUUAAGAACCAGGCUUAGGGGCUUCCCUGGUGGCACAGUGGUUGAGAAUCAGCCCGCCGAUGCAGGGGACACGGGUU